rnacentral:rRNA from 1 species
GACGAACGCUGGCGGCGUGCCUAAUACAUGCAAGUCGAACGCUUUGAUUUUCACCGGAGCUUGCUCCACCGAAAAUCAAAGAGUGGCGGACGGGUGAGUAACACGUGGGCAACCUGCCCAACAGAGGGGGAUAACACUUGGAAACAGGUGCUAAUACCGCAUAAUUUGUUUUCCUGCAUGGGAGAAUAAUAAAAGACGCUUCGGUGUCACUGUUGGAUGGGCCCGCGCUGCAUUAGUUAGUUGGUGGGGUAAUGGCCUACCAAGACCGUGAUGCAUAGCCGACCUGAGAGGGUGAUCGGCCACACUGGGACUGAGACACGGCCCAGACUCCUACGGGAGGCAGCAGUAGGGAAUCUUCGGCAAUGGACGAAAGUCUGACCGAGCAACGCCGCGUGAGUGAAGAAGGUUUUCGGAUCGUAAAACUCUGUUGUUAGAGAAGAACAAGUGGGAGAGUAACUGUUCCCACCUUGACGGUAUCUAACCAGAAAGCCACGGCUAACUACGUGCCAGCAGCCGCGGUAAUACGUAGGUGGCAAGCGUUGUCCGGAUUUAUUGGGCGUAAAGCGAGCGCAGGCGGUUUCUUAAGUCUGAUGUGAAAGCCCUCGGCUCAACCGAGGAAGGUCAUUGGAAACUGGGGAACUUGAAUGCAGAAGAGGAGAGUGGAAUUCCAUGUGUAGCGGUGAAAUGCGUAGAUAUAUGGAGGAACACCAGUGGCGAAGGCGACUCUCUGGUCUGUAAUUGACGCUGAGGCUCGAAAGCGUGGGGAGCAAACAGG